rnacentral:rRNA from 1 species
CGGGAGGCAGCAGUGGGGAAUCUUGCACAAUGGAGGAAACUCUGAUGCAGCGAUGCCGCGUGAGUGAAGAAGGCCCUUGGGUUGUAAAGCUCUUUCGUCGGGGAAGAAAAUGACUGUACCCGAAUAAGAAGGUCCGGCUAACUUCGUGCCAGCAGCCGCGGUAAUACGAAGGGACCUAGCGUAGUUCGGAAUUACUGGGCUUAAAGAGUUCGUAGGUGGUUGAAAAAGUUAGUGGUGAAAUCCCAGAGCUUAACUCUGGAACUGCCAUUAAAACUUUUCAGCUAGAGUAUGAUAGAGGAAAGCAGAAUUUCUAGUGUAGAGGUGAAAUUCGUAGAUAUUAGAAAGAAUACCAAUUGCGAAGGCAGCUUUCUGGAUCAUUACUGACACUGAGGAACGAAAGCAUGGGUAGCGAAGAGGAUUAGAUACCCUCGUAGUCCAUGCCGUAAACGAUGUGUGUUAGACGUUGGAAAUUUAUUUUCAGUGUCGCAGCGAAAGCGAUAAACACACCGCCUGGGGAGUACGACCGCAAGGUUAAAACUCAAAGGAAUUG